AACAGUGUUUAAAUGAAUCAAAGAAACUAAUCUGAAAAAAAAAAAAUCAAAAAUCAAAACCAAAGAGAAGAAACAUUUUGCUUUAAUUUCACCCCAAAGAAGUCCAUAUUUUCCCUAAACUUCAUAAUUUCAUAUUUUCACAAGGAAGAACUGUGAACAGUUGUUUAAAUGAAUCAAAGAAACUAAUCUGAAUAAAAAAAUCAAAAAUCAAAACCAAAGAGAAGAAACAUUUUGCUUUAAUUUCACCCCAAAGAAGUCCAUAUUUUCCCUAAACUUCAUAAUUUCAUAUUUUCACAAGGAAGAACUGUGAACAGUGUUUAGAUGAAUCAAA